ACUCAAAGGAAUUGACGGGGGCCCACACAAGCGGUGGAACAUGUGGUUCAAUUCGACAACAAACGAAGAACCUUACCAGGUCUUGACAUCUAGCGAACCUCUUGGAAACGAGAGGGUGCCCGCAAGGGAGCGCUAAGACAGGUGCUGCAUGGUUGUCGUCAGCUCGAGCCUUGAGGUGUACGGUUAAGUCCGUGAUCGAGCGCAACCCUCGUCCCUAGUUAUAUAUUUCUAGGGAGACUGCCGUGCCAUAAGCCGGAGGAAGGUGGGGAUGACGUCAAAUCAGCAUGGCCCUUAUGACCUGGGCUACACACAUGUUACAAUGGUCGGUACAAUAGGUAGCAAGGGGGUAACCCGGAGCCAAUCCUACAAAACCGAUCUCAGUCCGGAUUGAGGGCUGCAACUCGCCCUCAUGAAGUUGGAAUCGCUAGUAACCGUGAAUCAGCUAUGUCACGGUGAAUAUGUUCCUGGGCCUUGUACACACCGCCCGU
rnacentral:rRNA from 1 species